rnacentral:rRNA from 1 species
AUGGGGGACAACAUUCCGAAAGGAAUGCUAAUACCGCAUACGUCCUACGGGAGAAAGCAGGGGAUCUUCGGACCUUGCGCUAAUAGAUGAGCCUAAGUCGGAUUAGCUAGUUGGUGGGGUAAAGGCCUACCAAGGCGACGAUCUGUAGCGGGUCUGAGAGGAUGAUCCGCCACACUGGGACUGAGACACGGCCCAGACUCCUACGGGAGGCAGCAGUGGGGAAUAUUGGACAAUGGGGGGAACCCUGAUCCAGCCAUGCCGCGUGUGUGAAGAAGGCCUUAUGGUUGUAAAGCACUUUAAGCGAGGAGGAGGCUACUGAGACUAAUACUCUUGGAUAGUGGACGUUACUCGCAGAAUAAGCACCGGCUAACUCUGUGCCAGCAGCCGCGGUAAUACAGAGGGUGCGAGCGUUAAUCGGAUUUACUGGGCGUAAAGCGUGCGUAGGCGGCUUUUUAAGUCGGAUGUGAAAUCCCCGAGCUUAACUUGGGAAUUGCAUUCGAUACUGGGAAGCUAGAGUAUGGGAGAGGAUGGUAAAUUUCCAGGUGGUAGCGGUGAAUGCCGUAGAGAUCUGGAGGAAUACUGAUGGCGAAGGCAGCCAUCUGGCCUAAUACUGACGCUGAGGUACGAAAGCAUGGGGGAGCAAACAGGAUUAGAUACCCUG